UACGAAGGUGGCAAGCGUUGUUCGGAUUUACUGGGCGUACAGGGAGCGUAGGCGGUUCGGUAAGCCCUCUGUGAAAUCUCCAGGCUUAACCUGGAACAGUCGGAGGGGACUGCCGGGCUAGAGGACGGGAGAGGAGCGCGGAAUUCCCGGUGUAGCGGUGAAAUGCGUAGAGAUCGGGAGGAAGGCCGGUGGCGAAGGCGGCAUCCUGGACUACUACUGACGCUGAGUGAGCGAAAGCCAGGGGAGCAAACGGG
rnacentral:rRNA from 1 species